GGGAGUAUGGCUCAAUGGUAAAGUGUUUGCCUGGUAUGCAUGAGGCCCUGGGUUCCAUCCCUAGUACCA
rnacentral:tRNA from 1 species